rnacentral:rRNA from 1 species
CCAGCAUCCGCGGUAAUUCCAGCUCCAAUAGCGUAUAUUAAAGUUGUUGCAGCUAAAAAGCUCGUAGUUGAAUUUCUGUUUAGAAUAACCGGUGCAGCUUCGGUUGUUUACCUGGUUCAAUCUAGACAUUUCUCCAGAGAACGUCUCUGUCCUUAAUUGGGUGGUGCGGGAUCUGGAACUUUUACUUUGAGAAAAUUAGAGUGUUUCAAGCAAGCCAUCGCUUUGAAUACUGCAGCAUGGAAUAAUAUGAUAAGACUUUGGUCUUAUUUUGUUGGUUUCUAAGACUGAAGUAAUGAUUGAUAGGGACAGUUGGGGGCAUUCGUAUUUAACUGUCAGAGGUGAAAUUCUUGGAUUUGUUAAAGACGAACUACUGCGAAAGCAUUUGCCAGGGAUGUUUUCAUUGAUCAAG